GACGAACGCUGGCGGCGUGCUUAACACAUGCAAGUCGAACGAAGCUUGAUUACGGAUUCUUCGGAUGAAGUAUGAUAUGACUGAGUGGCGGACGGGUGAGUAACGCGUGAGUAAUCUGCCCUUCUGAGGGGGAUAGCGUUUGGAAACGAACGGUAAUACCGCAUAAUGUAUUUUGACCGCAUGAUCGAACUACCAAAGAUUUAUCGCUGAAGGAUGGACUCGCGUCUGAUUAGGUAGUUGGUGGGGUAACGGCCUACCAAGCCGACGAUCAGUAGCCGGACUGAGAGGUUGAUCGGCCACAUUGGGACUGAGACACGGGCCAGACUCCUACGGGAGGCAGCAGUAGGGAAUAUUGCACAAUGGGCGCAAGCCUGAUGCAGCAACGGCGCGUGAAGGAAGACGGUUGUCGGAUUGUAAACUUCUGUUCUUAGUGAAGAAUAAUGACGGUAGCUAAGGAACAAGCCACGGCUAACUACGUG
rnacentral:rRNA from 1 species